GAUGAAGCCAAGGCCGUGGAUAUCCCCCACAUGGACAUCGAGGCGCUCAAGAAGCUUAACAAGAACAAGAAGUUGGUCAAAAAACUGGACAAGAAGUACGAUGGCUUUUUGGCCUCCGAGUCUCUGAUCAAGCAAAUCCCACGUAUCCUGGGCCCAGGCCUAAACAAGGCAGGCAAGUUCCCCUCCCUGCUGACACACAAUGAAAACAUGGUGGCCAAAGUGGAUGAGGUGAAAUCCACAAUCAAGUUCCAGAUGAAGAAGUUGCUGUGUCUGGCUGUUGCCGUCGGCCACAUGAAGAUGACCGAUGACGAGCUGGUCUACAACAUCCACCUGGCUGUCAACUUCUUGGUGUCCUUACUCAAGAAAAACUGGCAGAACGUCCGGGCUCUGUACAUCAAGAGCACCAUGGGCAAGCCCCAGCAUCUGUAUUAGGAUGCUCCAAUAAACCUCGGUGCUGCCAUC
rnacentral:lncRNA from 1 species